GACGAACGCUGGCGGCGUGCUUAACACAUGCAAGUCGAACGGUAAGGCUCCAGCUUGCUGGGGUACACGAGUGGCGAGCGGGUGAGUAACACGUGGGUGACCUGCCCUGCACUUCGGGAUAAGCCUGGGAAACUGGGUCUAAUACCGGAUAGGACCGCACUGUGAGGGUGUGGUGGAAAGUUUUUUCGGUGUGGGAUGGGCCCGCGGCCUAUCAGCUUGUUGGUGGGGUAAUGGCCUACCAAGGCGGCGACGGGUAGCCGGCCUGAGAGGGUGGACGGCCACAUUGGGACUGAGACACGGCCCAGACUCCUACGGGAGGCAGCAGUGGGGAAUAUUGCACAAUGGGCGGAAGCCUGAUGCAGCGACGCCGCGUGGGGGAUGACGGCCUUCGGGUUGUAAACUCCUUUCACCAUCGACGAAGGGUUUCUGACGGUAGAUGGAGAAGAAGCACCGGCUAACUACGUGCCAGCAGCCGCGGUAAUACGUAGGGUGCGAGCGUUGUCCGGAAUUACUGGGCGUAAAGAGCUCGUAGGUGGUUUGUCGCGUCGUCUGUGAAUUCCGGGGCUUAACUCCGGGCGCGCAGGCGAUACGGGCAUAACUUGAGUACUGUAGGGGAGACUGGAAUUCCUGGUGUAGCGGUGAAAUGCGCAGAUAUCAGGAGGAACACCGGUGGCGAAGGCGGGUCUCUGGGCAGUAACUGGCGCUGAGGAGCGAAAGCAUGGGGAGCGAACAGGAUUAGAUACCCUGGUAGUCCAUGCCGUAAACGGUGGGCGCUAGGUGUGGGUUUCCUUCCACGGGAUCCGUGCCGUAGCUAACGCAUUAAGCGCCCCGCCUGGGGAGUACGGCCGCAAGGCUAAAACUCAAAGGAAUUGACGGGGGCCCGCACAAGCGGCGGAGCAUGUGGAUUAAUUCGAUGCAACGCGAAGAACCUUACCUGGGCUUGACAUAUACAGGAUCGCGCCAGAGAUGGUGUUUCCCUUGUGGCUUGUAUACAGGUGGUGCAUGGUUGUCGUCAGCUCGUGUCGUGAGAUGUUGGGUUAAGUCCCGCAACGAGCGCAACCCUUGUCUUAUGUUGCCAGCACGUUGUGGUGGGGACUCGUAAGAAACUGCCGGGGUUAACUCGGAGGAAGGUGGGGAUGACGUCAAAUCAUCAUGCCCCUUAUGUCCAGGGCUUCACACAUGCUACAAUGGUCGGUACAGUGGGUUGCCAGUCCGUGAGGGCGAGCUAAUCCCGCAAAGCCGGUCUCAGUUCGGAUCGGGGUCUGCAACUCGACCCCGUGAAGUCGGAGUCGCUAGUAAUCGCAGAUCAGCAACGCUGCGGUGAAUACGUUCCCGGGCCU
rnacentral:rRNA from 1 species